GGACUACUAGGGUAUCUAAUCCUGUUCGCUACCCACGCUUUCGUGCCUCAGCGUCAGUUUGAGUCCAGAGAGCCGCCUUCGCUACAGGUGUUCCUUCCGAUAUCUACGCAUUUCACCGCUACACCGGAAAUUCCGCUCCCCUCUACUCAACUCCAGAAAACCAGUCUUAAUUGCAGUUCCUAGGUUAAGCCCAGGCCUUUCACAACUAACUUAAUCUCCCGCCUACGCACCCUUUACGCCCAGUAAGUCCGAUUAACGCUCGCACCCUCUGUAUUACCGCGGCUGCUGGCAC
rnacentral:rRNA from 1 species